GUUGUAGCUCAGUUGGUUAGAGCACCGGAUUGUGGUUCCGGGGGUCGUGGGUUCGAAUCCCAUCUUC
rnacentral:tRNA from 1 species